rnacentral:rRNA from 1 species
CCUACGGGGGGCAGCAGUCGAGAAUCAUUCACAAUGGGGGAAACCCUGAUGGUGCGACGCCGCGUGGGGGAAUGAAGGUCUUCGGAUUGUAAACCCCUGUCAUGUGGGAGCAACUUAAAAAGAUAGUACCACCAGAGGGAGAGACGGCUUACUCUGUGCCAGCAGCCGCGGUAAUACGUAGGGCGCAAGCGUUGUUCGGAUUUACUGGGUGUAAAGGGGGCGGAGGCUGCAUUGUAAGCCGGGGGUGAAAGUCGGGGGCCAAACCCCCGGACGGCCCAUGAAACUGCGGGGCUGGAGUAGAGGAGGGGGAGGCGGAAUGCGUGGUGUAGCGGUGAAAUGCGUAGAUAUCAGGCGGAACACCGGUGGCGAAGGCGGGAUGCUGG